rnacentral:tRNA from 1 species
GGGGACGUGGUGAAAUUGGUAGACACGCUGGUCUUAGAAGCCAGUGACCUCGUCGUGGGAGUUCAAGUCUCCCCGUCCCCA